ACACGUGAGUAACCUGCCCCUGACUCUGGGAUAAGCGUUGGAAACGACGUCUAAUACUGGAUAUGAUCACUGGCCGCAUGGUCUGGUGGUGGAAAGAUUUUUUGGUUGGGGAUGGACUCGCGGCCUAUCAGCUUGUUGGUGAGGUAAUGGCUCACCAAGGCGACGACGGGUAGCCGGCCUGAGAGGGUGACCGGCCACACUGGGACUGAGACACGGCCCAGACUCCUACGGGAGGCAGCAGUGGGGAAUAUUGCACAAUGGGCGAAAGCCUGAUGCAGCAACGCCGCGUGAGGGAUGACGGCCUUCGGGUUGUAAACCUCUUUUAGUAGGGAAGAAGCGAAAGUGACGGUACCUGCAGAAAAAGCACCGGCUAACUACGUGCCAGCAGCCGCGGUAAUACGUAGGGUGCAAGCGUUGUCCGGAAUUAUUGGGCGUAAAGAGCUCGUAGGCGGUUUGUCGCGUCUGCUGUGAAAUCCCGAGGCUCAACCUCGGGCUUGCAGUGGGUACGGGCAGACUAGAGUGCGGUAGGGGAGAUUGGAAUUCCUGGUGUAGCGGUGGAAUGCGCAGAUAUCAGGAGGAACACCGAUGGCGAAGGCAGAUCUCUGGGCCGUAACUGACGCUGAGGAGCGAAAGCGUGGGGAGCGAACAGGAUUAGAUACCCUGGUAGUCCACGCCGUAAACGUUGGGCGCUAGAUGUAGGGACCUUUCCACGGUUUCUGUGUCGUAGCUAACGCAUUAAGCGCCCCGCCUGGGGAGUACGGCCGCAAGGCUAAAACUCAAAGGAAUUGACGGGGGCCCGCACAAGCGGCGGAGCAUGCGGAUUAAUUCGAUGCAACGCGAAGAACCUUACCAAGGCUUGACAUACACCGGAAACGGCCAGAGAUGGUCGCCCCCUUGUGGUCGGUGUACAGGUGGUGCAUGGUUGUCGUCAGCUCGUGUCGUGAGAUGUUGGGUUAAGUCCCGCAACGAGCGCAACCCUCGUUCUAUGUUGCCAGCGCGUUAUGGCGGGGACUCAUAGGAGACUGCCGGGGUCAACUCGGAGGAAGGUGGGGAUGACGUCAAAUCAUCAUGCCCCUUAUGUCUUGGGCUUCACGCAUGCUACAAUGGCCGGUACAAAGGGCUGCGAUACCGUAAGGUGGAGCGAAUCCCAAAAAGCCGGUCUCAGUUCGGAUUGAGGUCUGCAACUCGACCUCAUGAAGUCGGAGUCGCUAGUAAUCGCAGAUCAGCAAC
rnacentral:rRNA from 1 species